rnacentral:rRNA from 1 species
UGGGGAAUUUUGGACAAUGGACGCAAGUCUGAUCCAGCCAUGCCGCGUGCGGGAAGAAGGCCUUCGGGUUGUAAACCGCUUUUGUCAGGGAAGAAACGAGUUUCUCUAAUACAGAGACUUAAUGACGGUACCUGAAGAAUAAGCACCGGCUAACUACGUGCCAGCAGCCGCGGUAAUACGUAGGGUGCAAGCGUUAAUCGGGAUUGCUGGGCGUAAAGCGUGCGCAGGCGGUUAUGCAAGACAGAUGUGAAAUCCCCGGGCUCAACCUGGGAACGGCCUUUGUGACUGCAUAGCUAGAGUAUGGUAGAGGGGGAUGGAAUUCCGCGUGUAGCAGUGAAAUGCGUAGAUAUGCGGAGGAACACCGAUGGCGAAGGCAAUCCCCUGGGCCUGUACUGACGCUCAUGCACGAAAGCGUGGGGAGCAAACA